GAUGAACGCUGGCGGCGUGCCUAAUACAUGCAAGUCGAGCGAACAGACGAGGAGCUUGCUCUUCUGACGUUAGCGGCGGACGGGUGAGUAACACGUGUAUAACCUACCUAUAAGACUGGGAUAACUUCGGGAAACCGGAGCUAAUACCGGAUAAUAUCUUGCACCGCAUGGUUCAAUAGUGAAAGACGGUGUUUCUGUCACUUAUAGAUGGAUCCCCGCUGCAUUAUCUAGUUGGUAAGGUUACGGCCUACCAAGGCGACGAUGCGUUGCCGACCUGAGAGGGGGGUCGGCCACCAUGGAACGUGGCCAGGGACCUGGGUACUAAGGGAGGGACCAGUAGGGAAUGGUCCGCAAUGGGGGGAAACCUUGCGGAAGAACGGCGCGUGAGUGGUGAAAGUCUUCGGAUCGUGAAAACCGGUUACUAGGGAAAAACAAAUGUGGAAGGUAACAUGGACGUCUUGACGGUAACUAAUCAAGAAGCACCGGCUAACUACGUG
rnacentral:rRNA from 1 species